UACGUAGGGGGCAAGCGUUGUCCGGAUUCAUUGGGCGUAAAGAGCGUGUAGGCGGCCAGGCAGGUCCGCUGUGAAAACUCGAGGCUCAACCUCGAGAUGUCGGUGGAAACCGUCUGGCUAGAGUCCGGAAGAGGAGAGUGGAAUUCCCGGUGUAGCGGUGAAAUGCGCAGAUAUCGGGAAGAACACCCGUGGCGAAGGCGGCUCUCUGGGCCGAUACUGACGCUGAGGAGCGAAAGCGUGGGGAGCGAACAGG
rnacentral:rRNA from 1 species